rnacentral:rRNA from 1 species
AGUGAACGCUGGCGGUAGGCCUAACACAUGCAAGUCGAACGGCAGCACAGUAAGAGCUUGCUCUUACGGGUGGCGAGUGGCGGGCGGGUGAGGAAUACAUCGGAAUCUACUUUUUCGGGGGGGAUAACGUAGGGAAACUUACGCUAAUACCGCAUAUGACCUACGGGUGAAAGCAGGGGAUCUUCAGACCUUUCGCGAUUGUAUUAGCCGAUGUCGGAUUAGCUAGUUGGCGGGGUAAAGGCCCACCAAGGCGACGAUCCGUAGCUGGUCUGAGAGGAUGAUCAGCCACACUGGAACUGAGACACGGUCCAGACUCCUACGGGAGGCAGCAGUGGGGAAUAUUGGACAAUGGGCGCAAGCCUGAUCCAGCCAUACCGCGUGGGUGAAGAAGGCCUUCGGGUUGUAAAGCCCUUUUGUUGGGAAAGAAAAGCAGCAGGUUAAUACCCCGCUGUUCUGACGGUACCCAAAGAAUAAGCACCGGCUAACUUCGUG